AACGAACGCUGGCGGCGCGUUUUAAGCAUGCAAGUCGAACGGUAGACCGGUGCUUGCACCGGUUGAGAGUGGCGCACGGGUGAGUAACACGUAGGUGAUCUACCCCUGGAUUGGGGAUAGCCUGUGGAAACACGGGUUAAUACCGAAUACGAUCCGAGCACUGUGGUGUUUGGAGGAAAGGCCCUCAGGGGUCGUCCGGGGAUGAGCCUGCGGUCCAUUAGCUGGUUGGUGUGGUAAAGGCGCACCAAGGCGACGAUGGAUAGCCGGCCUGAGAGGGUGAUCGGCCACACUGGGACUGAGACACGGCCCAGACUCCUACGGGUGGCAG
rnacentral:rRNA from 1 species